rfam:Nicotiana attenuata strain TT chromosome 12, whole genome shotgun sequence.
UGGACAGAUUAUUUGUAUUCGACUGUAUUCACGGCGUGAAACAAGGGAUUACACUGUUUUUUAAACGGAAAGCGAAUCAAUUAACAUAAUAGACUCCU